GAUGAACGCUGGCGGCGUGCCUAACACAUGCAAGUCGAGCGGAAAUCUGCGAAGUAGUAAUACGGAACAGGUUUUAGCGGCGGACGGGUGAGUAACACGUGAGCAAUCUGCCUCUUGCAGGGGAAUAACAUUGUGAAAACAAUGCUAAUACCGCAUGACGUCUGACCGGGACAUCCCGGACAGACCAAAGGAGAAAUCCGGCAGGAGAUGAGCUCGCGUCCGAUUAGCUAGUUGGCGGGUAACGGCCCACCAAGGCGACGAUCGGUAGCCGGACUGAGAGGUUGAACGGCCACAUUGGGACUGAGACACGGCCCAGACUCCUACGGGUGGCAG
rnacentral:rRNA from 1 species